AUUCUUGGCAGCAAUGAGAGCUCUCGGUUUGGUGCAUUGGCUGUGUAGGAGUGUACCUCCCAUUUUGGGAUCAUUUAGACCUCCUUUGGUAAAGUUCUUGCAGGUUUAAUGGCAGAUAAAGGAAAAGGGUUUUUUUU